rnacentral:rRNA from 1 species
GAGUUUGAUCCUGGCUCAGGAUGAACGCUAGCGACAGGCCUAACACAUGCAAGUCGAGGGGCAGUACAAGGAUAGCAAUAUUCUGGUGGCGACCGGCGCACGGGUGAGUAACACGUAUGCAACCUACCUGUAAGAGGGGAAUAACCCGGAGAAAUCCGGACUAAUACCGCAUAAUACCAAUUAGCUGCAUGGUUGAUUGGUUAAACAUCUAUGGCAUACAGAUGGGCAUGCGUAUGAUUAGCUAGUUGGUGAGGUAACGGCUCACCAAGGCAACGAUCAUUAGGGGUUCUGAGAGGAAGGUCCCCCACACUGGUACUGAGACACGGACCAGACUCCUACGGGAGGCAGCAGUGAGGAAUAUUGGUCAAUGGGCGAGAGCCUGAACCAGCCAAGUCGCGUGAAGGAAGAAGGCUCUAUGGAUUGUAAACUACUUUAGUAAGGGAAUAAAAAGGGGUACGUGUACCCUAUGGUAUGUACUUUACGAAUAAGGAUCUGCUAUCUCCGUGCCACCAGCCGCGGUAAUACGGAGGAUCCAAG